AUGAACGCUGGCGGCGUGCCUCAUCCAUGCAAGUCGAGCGAACAGACGAGGAGCUUGCUCCUCUGACGUUAGCGGCGGACGGGUGAGUAACACGUGGAUAACCUACCUAUAAGACUGGGAUAACUUCGGGAAACCGGAGCUAAUACCGGAUAAUAUAUUGAACCGCAUGGUUCAAUAGUGAAAGACGGUUUUGCUGUCACUUAUAGAUGGAUCCGCGCCGCAUUAGCUAGUUGGUAAGGUAACGGCUUACCAAGGCAACGAUGCGUAGCCGACCUGAGAGGGUGAUCGGCCACACUGGAACUGAGACACGGUCCAGACUCCUACGGGAGGCAGCAGUAGGGAAUCUUCCGCAAUGGGCGAAAGCCUGACGGAGCAACGCCGCGUGAGUGAUGAAGGUCUUCGGAUCGUAAAACUCUGUUAUUAGGGAAGAACAAAUGUGUAAGUAACUAUGCACGUCUUGACGGUACCUAAUCAGAAAGCCACGGCUAACUACGUG
rnacentral:rRNA from 1 species